UUUUUUUUCUUUUUUUUUUUUUGCAUGCACGAAUAAAGCUUAGUCCCAAGCUAUUCAAGUCUUUUGACGUGAACUUUGACAUUUUUAGAUGAAAGAGUCCAGUUAUUCAACUUUUCACAGCUCCAGGACCACUUACUCAUAGAUAUCGCUACUUUUUGACGCGAGAGCCGACACGUGUGGUGAAGACUCCCGGUUACUGGGUGAAGACUCCCGGUUACUGGGUGGCGACACUAGCGGAGUAUAACCAUACGUUAUUCACCAAUAAACACCAAAAUACCAAGUAAUUAAAGAUCAUAGCCUGCGUCAUGUCUUAAAUAUGGAGAACUAAGGUCAACAGGAGACCAAUCCACACAACAAUGCCAGCAAAAUAUUUACAUUGCCUAAACAAGUUAGCCAUAAAUUGUACCAAGUUGUUAAACUCAAAAUAUUCACCAAGACAGCAUGCUCUUACUUGCCACCGAAACUCAAUUCAUAGUAUAAACCACAACUAACAAUAAAUGAGUGAGCUGCCAACAUAUUCACCAAGAUAAAAGCAAUGGAAAAUCACCCAAAAGGGAUAAAGGACAACACCUAAACAGGAAACAAAAGGAAAACAACCAAAAAGAAACGAAAACUAGAAAUAUCUAGCACCCAAACUGAUCCCCCCCCACACCUAAGUCACACAUUGCCCCCAAUGUGGUAAAUUAAUAACAAAAGUAAAGAAAAGGGCAACGGUACUUCCCUGUAGUCGUCAAAACAUGGGAGGGUUAGGCGCAAACUGAGGUUGAAACCCGGCUUGCUGCAUAAAUGCCGCCAGAUUCUGUGCCAUUUUAUGCACGUUGACAUCAAUGUGCUGCAACCGAGUUUCCAGCCGCUCAACCGUGUUCCGAAGUUGAAGCCACUCCUCAGGCGUUGGGUUAGGAGGAGGUGGAACGGAAGUAGAUGGACCGGGGUCACCGCCGGUAGUGGAAGGUCGUGCAAAAGAGGAUCGCGGGGGGGCAUGAAUCGGUCCCGGGGGAACAACCUCCCACCCGCUGUCACCUUCCCUUACCAACCCCAUUCGCUCUAAGCACGGGAUGUCCAAAGGCUCCAUAUGACAGGCGACAUGCAAAUCAUGGUUAGAGAGAUCAAGCAAGUGCAAGUUAACAGCCAAAUGGGUAAUAUACGACCCAAGAAUCAAGGGGUGUUUCUUUUUGGGCAAAACAGACUUAAAUUGAGAAGCGAGCCAGCACCCCAAAUUAACUUUAAUGUUAUUAUGCAUGCACCAUAUAAAGAAAAACUCUGGCUUAGACAAAAUGCCCGAGCUAUCUCGCCUACCCGAGAAACUAUAAGCCAAAAAGCGGUGGAUAUAGCGAGACGCUGGGUCCUUCAGAUAAAAGCCCUUAGAUAAACGAGGGUCAUAGUUAUCCCUGUCUACGGACAUAUCAUCCCAAAUAUAGGGAUAGCGGGAGAAAAACGGCUGAACAUAGUCACAUGCACUCUCGGCAUACUCCCGAGACUCAGCAUAGGCAGGAUCAAUAAAUCCAAGGGCCAAGUUGAAGUCGGUUAUGGAAUGGUGGAACUCUUGACCCAUUAAACGAAAGCGGAUGACAUUAGGGGUAGAAACUGUGUAACCCGUGGGGAAGUCGAACUCAAAUGUGGCAUAGAACUCCCUAACCAACUCAACAAAGGCCGGGAGAUCAGUAAUACGAGAAUAGGGGAGCCACCCGAUAACCUCAAUCAAAUCGUCAAAUCCAACUCGAAUAUUUAGGAGGCCCAAGGUGGCGGCGUCCCGAUAACGGCAUGGGAUAAUCCGCCGUUCACAAGCCGUAGCAUAUCGCUGCUUGUCGGCUGCCCGGGUAAAGUCCAGAUGACCCCCAAAAUGUGCAGAGUCAGAAAUAUGGACGCCUCUUUGUCUCCCAAGACGAGCCCUCCUCCCAGAGGAGGAAGGGUCGUGCGAGGGGUCAGAGGCGGGAAUGGAGUGCUGGGGUGGAGGGGGCUGAGGGGUCCUAGGGGUCCUAGACCUAGAAGAGGAAGACCGAGAUUUUACCAUGGUGGCUAGUAGUUGGCUCAAUCAAUAGAAAGUACAAUUCAAGCACCCGCAAGCUAUAAAAAUAACCUCAACAAGACAGCAAGUUCAAGCAAUAACCACUGGUGGCCCCAAUUAAGGUAAAAGCAAAAUAAAACAGCCUAACAAUCUUACUAGAAUUACACAAUCAGAAUAAGCAGAGCAAAAGGCACAAUAGCCCCCAAACAAGGCAAAUAGAGGCAAUUAUUGCAAUAAGCAACGGAGAUGGCCCAGGAGCCGUCCAAUGCACCAAUUAAAUGCAAUAAAUCCCAACCAAAGGCAGCUCAAUAGACUGCAGGCAGAAAGUACCCAAAUGAUACUCAAUUGAUACCAAAAACGAACCCAACAAAACAGCAAGAGCGAAGGAUAUUCAGUCACAGAUGCUCAAUCAUAUCGAAAUAAGAAAUUGGAAGAAAACUAGCACAACCAAUACCACUGGUGCAUGCACAGGCAAGAAGGGAACCAUACGGCCAACCCAAUUAAUAAAAAUGCACAACUGAGGCACCCCAAAGGCUAGAAAAAGGACCCUAACAACACAGCAAAUUGAAUGAAUAGGCACUGGGUCUCUAAUUCAGUCAAAAUAGGAUCAAGGGGCACGAUACAGAAAUUAACAAAGUAGAACUCAAGUGAUACCAACAGGGAACCCAACAGAGCAAUGAAAUCAACCAAUUGGAACACAUGAAACUCCACAAAUGCCACCGAUUGGACAGUCAAAUACCCAAGUCAAACGCUCAAAAUCAGCACUUGGGCCAAGCAAUAGGCACCAAAACUCAAGAAUCAAAUAGGCAGUCCAGCACAGAGGAUUAAGAAAUGGAAAGCAACACUGCAACCAGUACCACUGGUGCACAGACAAGAAAGUAUUAAAUUCAACGGCAGCAACUCAACCACAAGAACUUAAACUUUAAAAUAAGCAAGUAUUCUCAAAUAGCCGCAACACGAUAGGCACAAGAUCUCAACCAGUACCACUAGUGAGUCACAGGGAAAAAUUAAUUAAACGGCCAACAAUUCAAUAAAUAGCAGAAAAUAUCCCCACUAUGGCAGCAAUUAAACCCAACUUUAUCCAAAAUUGGCCCUAGAAAAUGCCCAAAAUAUCACCUUCCUUUAACCAUCAAGAAACCACCCACAAAUUUCAGAGUCUCAAACUAAUUGGGGAAGAAAUUACAAUACCUCCACCUGUCGAAAGUGGACAGGUGGCGACGUGCGGCAAUGGAGCUGGUGGUGCCAAUGGAGGUUGACAGGCCAGCGGCUGCAGGUGGCGCUUGGGCGAGCCUGUGACGCGCGCGCGAGGUGGAGCAGGAAGAGCUCGCGUGUGACGGUGGAGAGAGGAGAUAUGGCGGUGUACGGCUGUAGGCAGUCGCGCGCGAGGAGCUAUGGGCGGCGCAGGCUGGGGUUGCGAGCUGCGUGGACUUGAAGGGCUGGUGGUAGCGCGCAAGCUCAGGAGGAGCUGUGCGUGAGGCAGAAAGAGCCCCGGCGCUUGACUGCUAGCUACGCUCACGGGCUGUCAGCGGGCGUCGGUCGUGGGCUGUGGCACCGUGCGAUGGUGGCCUGGAGGCUCGAUGGAGCUGCGUGGGAGGGAUAGAGAUCUGGUGGCGGAGGCGCGCGGAGAGAGAGAGAUGGCGGCGGACAGUUGGGGAUGUUGGGUGAAUGGGUGAAGAAGAAAAGAAAAUGGGAAAAGAGAAAGCAGCGGGGAAGGAGGAAGAAAGAAAAGAAAGAAAGAAAGAAAGAAGAAAAGAAGGAAAGAACGAAGAAGAGAAAAAAGAAAGAAAAUAAAAUAAAAUAAAAUGGUUUUUUUUUCUCAAAAAUUAUUCUAACCGAAAUUCUCCAAAAUUUGAAAUUGCUGUUGUAAAAACAAAAAAAAAAUUUUAAAUUUUUUUUCGAAUUUUUUUGAAUUUAGGAAGAAAAAAAUAAUCUUUUCUUUUUCUUUUAAUGAAAGUAGUAAUAAUAAUAAAAUAUAUAUAUAUUUUUUAUUUGAAUUCAUGUUUUGGAUCGUCAAACACCGCGUGGGCAUGCCAAGAUUACAAAACAUCCACUGACCUCAGGAAACACAAACACCGCGUGGGCACGCCAGGAUUGCACCUCCUCAGGAUGCACAAACACCGCGUACCAGGAUUGCACUUCCUAGUCACAAUGAAGAAAAGUAUUAAUAUUUCUACUACCCAACGAGGAAACGACAAAAUAAAAGAAAUGAACAACUAAAAACAAUAAAACCAAUAUUCGGGUUGCCUCCCAAAAAAGCGCCUUUCUUUAAUGUCUUUGGCUAGACAUAGCCCAUAAUUUGCUUAAACCAAGCAAAUCGGGUUCUCUAAAUGCAUCGCCUCUACCCGUUCAACUGGAGCCCCAUCAUAAUAUGGCUUGAGACGAUGACCAUUCACCACAAAUUUCUUCUCCGUCCUUAGACUCUGGAUCUCCACUGCACCAUAAUCAAAGACAUUAGUUACAAUGAAGGGACCGAUCCAACGAGAACGUAGUUUACCUGGAAAUAACUUCAAUUUGGAGUGAUAUAGUAGAACUUUUUGCCCACAAACGAAUGUCUUCCUAGAGAUUUGUUGGUAAUGAAAAAUCUUAUUUUUCUCCUUAUAAAUUGCCGCAUUCUCAUAGGCUUCAUUUCGAAUCUCCUCCAACUCCUGUAACUGUAACUUCCUUUGAAUUCCGCCCUCCUCAAUAUCCAUAUUGCAUUGCUUAAUCGCCCAAAAUGCUUUAUGCUCGAACUCCACUGGAAGAUGGCAAGGCUUACCAAAUACCAACCUAUAGGGAGACAUCCCUAUAGGUGUCUUGUAAGCGGUCCUAUAUGUCCACAAAGCAUCUUCCAACCUUGAACUCCAGUCCUUCCUAUCAGAGCGGACCAUCUUUUCCAAAAUGGACUUUAUUUCCCUAUUCGAGACUUCAGCCUGGUCGUUGGUCUGUGGAUAGUAGGAAGUGAAAACCUUAUGAAAUACACCAUAUUUCCUGAAUAAAGCAACAAUUGUCUUGUUGCAAAAAUGCGUCCCCCUAUCACUCACAACUGCCCGUAGCAUUCCCAAUCGCACGAAAAUGUUAGACUUUAUGAAACCUGCUACCACCUUAGACUCAUUAGUGCGGGUGGCUUUUGCUUCCACCCACUUCGAGACAUAAUCCACUGCUAGUAAAAUGUAUAAAAAUCCACUAGAAUUAGGAAAGGGACCCAUGAAAUCUAUACCCCAAGUAUCAAAAAUUUCAAUGAAAAGUAUGGGCACUUGUGGCAGUUGAUCCUUUCGGGAUAAAUUGCCUACCCUCUGACAUUUAUCACAUGUCUUACAAAACAAGUAGGCAUCCUUAAAUAAGGUAGGCCAAUAAAAUCCACUUUCCAACACUUUCCUCGCAGUCCGUUUAGGUCCAAAAUGACUCCCACAUGCAAAAGAGUGAUAGAAAGUCAAUAUAGAUUGGAAUUCACUUUCACUUACACAUCGCCUCAUUAUUUGGUCAGCACCUUGUUUCCAAAGAUAGGGAUCAUCCCAGACAUAGUACUUUGCAUCGCUUUUUAGUUUGUCCCUUUUCGCCUUGGGCCAACCUGCGGGCAAUUUGUCAGUAACCAAAUAAUUCACAAUAUCUGCAAACCAAGGAGGGGAUGAAUUAAUAGAAAGUAAAUGCUCUUCAGGAAAAGACUCCCUUAAUGGUAAUUCCUUCUCUGCUACCAAUAUUCGACUGAGGUGGUCAGCUACCAGAUUCUUUGCUCCUUUUUUAUCUCUGAUUUCCAAGUCAAAUUCCUGCAGGAGCAAUAUCCAUCUUAUCAAACGGGGUUUAGCGUCCUUCUUGGUCACCAGAUACCUCAAAGCUGCAUGGUCAGAAUACACAAUUACUUUAGCACCUAGCAAAUAAGGUCUAAACUUUUCUAAAGCAAAAACAACAGCUAAGAGUUCUUUCUCCGUAGUGGACUAAUUGAGUUGGGCGCCAUUUAAAGCUCUAGAGGCGUAAUAUAUUGCGUGCGCCGCUUUCUCCACCCUUUGUCCUAAAACUGCUCCUACGGAGUGGUCGCUGGCAUCACACAUAAUUUCAAAUGGGAGAUUCCAAUCAGGGGGUUGGAUGACAGGUGGAGAAGUGAGUGAUUUUUUCAACUUCUCGAACGCUUCUUUGCACUCCUCGUUGAAUUCAAAACUGACAUCCUUUUGCAAAAGCCUGAAAAGUGGUGCCCCGAUCUUUGAGAAAUUCUUGAUAAAUCUGCGAUAGAAACCUGCAUGUUCUAGAAAAGAACGAACUUCCCGUACAGUUACGGGGUAAGGUAAAGCAGAUAUCACAUCUAUUUUAGCUUUAUCAACCUCAAUUCCUCUAGACGACACUACAUGUCCUAGAACUAUCUCGUGCUCAACCAUGAAGUGACAUUUUUCCCAAUUGAGCACUAGGUUAGUCUCAAUGCAUCUUUUUAAAAUCAAUGUCAGGUUAUCUAAGCAAUCGUCAAAACUAUCACCAUAGACACUGAAAUCAUCCAUGAAUACCUCAAUUAUUCUCUCCACAUACUCAGAAAAAAUGCUAAUCAUACACCUAUGGAAUGUUGCAGGGGCAUUGCACAAUCCAAAUGGCAUCCUUCAAUAAGCAAAAGUGCCAAAGGGGCAAGUGAAAGUUGUUUUCUCUUGAUCCUCUGGUGCAAUGGCUAUCUGAAAAUAACCAGAGAAACCAUCUAAAAAACAAUAAUAGGCACAACAAGCUAACCUUUCAACCAUUUGAUCGAUGAAUGGAAGAGGAAAAUGAUCCUUCUUGGUCACCGCGUUCAAUUUGCGGUAAUCGAUGCACUGGCGCCAACCCGUAGGCUUUCGAAUUGGAACGAUGUCCCCUUCAUGAUUUUCUUCCGCAGUUACCCCUGCUUUCGUUGGCACUACUUGGACCGGACUCACCCAUGGGCUAUCUGAGAUAGAAAAAAUAAUUCCUACGUCCAGAAGCUUGAUUACCUCUUUCUUGACCACUUCCAUCAUGAUGGGGUUCAAUUUCCUUUGUGGUUGUCUUAUCGGCCUAGCAUCCUCUUCCAGGCGAAUUCGAUGCAUGCAUAUGGACGGGCUUAUACCCUUUAUGUCCGCAAUUGUCCAACCUAUGGCUUCCUUAUGCUCCCUUAAAACCCGUAGCAGCUUAUCCUUCUCCCUUGGUGAUAAUUUGGAUGAGAUUAUCAUUGGUAACGUCUCUUUUUCACCUAGAUAGGCAUACUUUAAAUGCUCGAGCAGGGGUGUCAACUCCACUUCAGGUGCCUGCACGAUAGAAGGUAAUAGCUUUAGGUGUGGUUCAGGCACGAAUAUAGGAGCGACAUCAUACCUUAGAGAACUUUGGCCUAGUGAAUGCAAGGCUCCAACCAUUCUUUGCAAAUUGACGCCUAACGCCAUUUCACAGGUUGCUUCCAGAUCCAAAUGUUUGGUGAUUGCUAUCUCCAAUUCAUCCCUGCCAUUAAUCUCAAAUACUUCUUACACAAAAGGGUCAAUUACACUCACAGCAAAAAUAGCAUUAGAAUGACACGGAUAUUUCAUAGCCUCAAAUAUAUUGAAAUGAACUAUUUGUCCAUCAAAUUCCAUCGUUAGGGUGCCCUCACUAACAUCAAUUUUUGUACGAGCCGUACUCAAGAAGGGCCUCCCCAACAAAAUUGGUGAUAGAUUUGGAGAGUGUUCAUCACCCAUAUCAAGAAUAUAAAAAUCAGCCGAGAACACUAAAUUGUUCACUUGCACUAACACAUCUUCUAUCACCCCAUCGGGAUAAACAUUAGUCCUAUCAGCCAAUUGAAUUAUAAUGCCAGUUUCCUUUAAGGGAUCCAAAUUUAGAGAAGCAUAAAUAACCUUGGGUAUCACAUUUAUAGAGGCUCCUAGAUCUAACAUGGCAUUCCUAAUGCUAGUGUUCCCUAUUUUACAAGGGAUAGUGAACAUACGUGGGUCUCCACACUUGGGCCGAAGUUUUCUUUGAAGCACUGCGGAUACGUUCUCUCCUACAAUUAUCCUUUCAUCUCCCCUCAAUUUCUUCCUAUUGAUGCAUAGGUCCUUCAAAAAUUUGGCAUACCGGGGUACUUGCUUAAUUGCGUCAAGUAAGGGGAUAUUUAUCUCCACCUUCCUAAACAUAUCCAGAAUUUCCUUUUCCUUGUCUUGCUUUUUAGGCCUUUCCAACCUGCUAGGAAAAGGUGGUGGGUUAGGCUUAACUGGAAUCACUGGGUUACGUAUUACCUCUUUAUUUGUGCCAGGCGUUCCUUCUUCCUCAAGCUCCUUCUCAAUGCGGUCCUCAUUCUUGUCCUUCGGAGCCACUGGUGCUGGUCCUUCAACCUCUUUCCCACUCCUGAGGGUCAUUGCACUUACAUUCUUGGGAUUCACCUCAGGUUGGGAUGGAAGUUUUCCCUUUCCCUGGGAGUCCAGUCGGUUGACAAUUGAGGCCAAUUGAAUCAUCUGAUUUUUCAAGUUUUGCAUACGCACCUUCAUCUCUUGACUGCUGGCCUCAGUGUCCUGCUGAAAUUUCAUAGUAUUAGAGGCUAUGGUUUUAACCAUGUCUUCUAGGGACAUACCUGAGGCAGAGGAGGGUUGAUUCCUUGUUUGAUAUUGUUGCUGGAAGCCUUGCUGUCUAUUAGGGAUGAAAUUUUGUUGCUUAUUUCCCCCAUAACUCAGAUUUGGAUGAUCCCUCGAACCCGAAUUGUAUGAGUUAGAAUAGGGGUCAUACUGUCUACGUGGCAUGGGCAUGUUACCAGCCAUGUUUGCUUGCUCAGUUCCCUCCUCUUGUAACUGCGGGCACGAGUCAGUGGUAUGACCAAUAUUCGUACAAAUCCCACACACUUUGGCCUACUGUACAUUUCCUACAGCUAUCUAUCGAACAAAUGAGGUUAAUUCAGAUAACUGCUGUUGAAUGGAAGAUGAACUUACCUCGUUGACAUUUCUCAUAGGAACAUCCUUUCUCGUACCAAACUGCUGGCAGUUCUCUGCCAUUCGCUCGAUUAGUUCCCAUGCCUCUUGGGUAGUCUUAUUCACCAGUGCACCACCACUUGAUGCAUCAAUGAUAUUUCUAUCGUUCAUCAGUAGCCCCUCGUAGAAGUACUGAAUCAGCAGUUGAUCACUUAUUUGGUGAUGAGGGCAUCGGGUACGCAGCCUGGUGAACCUCUCCCAAUAUUCAUAUAAGGAUUUCCCGUGAAAUUGCUUGAUGCCACAUAUUUCCUUUCACAAACUAGCAGCUCUGGAUGCAGGGAAAUAUUUUUCAAAAAAAUUUUUCUUCAUCUCUGGCCACGUGGUGAUAAUGCCUGCAGGUAGACAGUAUAACCCGUCCUUUGCCGAAUCCUUGAGAGAGAAAGGGAAGACCCUUAAUUUAAUUUGUUCAUCAGUUACUCCCGAAGGCUUCAUACUCGAACACACCACAUCAAAUUCCUGUAUGUGUUUAUGGGGUUCCUCUCCUGGCAGAUCAUGAAAAGUAGGCAACAAAUGUAUUAGAUCAGGUUUUAAUUCAAAAGCUGCAUUCUCACUAAGGCGAGGAAAAGUUAUGCAAAGAGGUUGUUGGGUCAAGUUUGGAGCAGCCAACUCCCUUAAUGUUUGUGUGUUUGCCAUGACGACGUUCUCUUGGUACGAAUCACUCGAAUUAUCGCCACGUAAAUCUGUCAACUCAGCCUCUGGAUCUAGUCUUUGAGAUGUCACACUGGAUUGCUCCUCUCUGAGUUGUCUGGUUUCUUUUCUCGUUCUACGCGCGAUCUUCUCUACUUCAAGAUCGAAAAUUAAUUCUUCUGUGUGAGAAGAACGAGGCAUAAACUAGAAAAAAUACCAGAAAAUUAGAACAAAAUUGAAAUUGAAAAGAAACAAAUAAUUGACGCCAGUCCCCGGCAACGGCGCCAAAAAUUGACAGGAUGUCGAGCCUGUGCAAUAAUAAUAAUAAUAAUAAAAUCCUAAAUACCACUAAGAGCGGUUAGUAAUUAAUCCUAGGUACUGGAGCAGGGACUCUAGGUGUGCAAUGGGUUACUUGAUUCACCCUGUUCCCGAAGAAUUUGCUUAAUCCGAUAUACCAGAAUUAAUUAGGUGACAAAAAUUACUGAAAAGUAGACAGUGGCAAGUAGGGUCAUCUCCUCAGGGACUGGGAAUAUUUACUUCUUUUAAAUUCCAAUUGAUAAGGGGGAUUUCACCGGAAUGGAAUUAAAAACAAUUAAACAAUUUAACUAAAAAUGAAUAAUUAACUAGCACAAAUAUAGCAGGAGUUAAAUCAAAAAUAAAUAAAUUCUAGCCAAGGAUACAACUACUCAGACACAGUCCAUUUAUCCGAUCAUCGAUGCAAGGGAGGUUCUCUUAAUUUCUCAAUAGGCUAGUUAUAGUCGCUGAUAAACUCUAACGACCAAUUUUUCCUUAAAUUAUUGAUAACUAAGGUACGACCAUUGAUUACCCCUAACCAGAAAAUACUCCUAGGUACGACCGUAGGAAUUAAUUUUUCAAUUGCAUUAAUAACUAGAAAAACCUAACCCUAAUCAAUAACACGCUACGAGGGUUAUUUAAAUUAGAUUGCACGUUCCCCUGAUGUGUAAACACACCAGUUGCCACUAAUAUUAAUCAAUCAAACAAUUACGGAUUUAAUUGACCAAAUUGGCACGAGAUUAAUAAAUCACAUUGAACAUCGGACCCUUGACAUCCAAUUAAUAAAAUAAUCCCAAGAAAAUUCAAGCAGGCAACGUGCAAAUAUUAAUAAAUUAAGGAACGCGUGAAAACUAAGUAGAUCUCACAGAUUUUCGGGACUGCGCCGUCGAGUUGACCCUUGACUAGAUAGAAGGUUUAGCCACGCCGCAUAAUUAAAUCACCACACGAAUUAAUGGAUUGCAUAAACAUUGCGAUUUUUUACUAGAAAGCAAAGGAUGAAAGAUGUUUUUCCCAUUGGGGAAUAUUGUUGAACACCUGGCGUGUGUUAGAGGCCAGUCAAGAGAAAGAAAACUAGAACUAAACUAAAAGCUAAAACUAAAAGGUCGUCCUUUGCUUCUGUACGUUGUCCCUUUUUAAAGCACCAAAAGAAAGAUGACUAAAAGUUAUCUAGGUGGUCCCCACACAUGUGGACAAAGCCUCCAAAUUACUUCUUCUUCCAAGUCUCUCUACGUUGCUUUCUUUGAAGAGCCCAAAUGACUAAAUAUCUUUCACUAGCUUUGUGGUCCCCCACCAAUUCAAAGGCCCAAGGAUUGAAGCCUUUAGAAGUCUCCAUAUUCUCCAUAAAGUCCCUCCUUUUUGGUAGUUUUCUGCUUCAUUUCUGAAAUUAAGUCAUGGUACCAAAUAUAAGUAGAUAUCAACAAUUAAUACAAUAUUUGGCAGGGAUAAAAGGGAAAAUUAAUAAUAAAAUUAUUAACAAAUGAUACCCUAUCAAUCUACGAGCACGAAGCUCAUUUAAAUCUAGUUUCCCCAAGACUGAGGGAGUUGGCUUUAUGGAUUUUCUUAUAGGAAAUUUGAUGGAGCUGCUGAACUCCAAAGCUAAAUCGAUUGGUUCUCUGAAAUAUCCAAUUCAAAUUGCUCAUGGAGAGAUGGGAUUCUUGAGGUCGAUACUCUGCAACAUUGGAGAAAAGUGGACUGAGCACUUGGAUAUAAAAUGUCUUGUUUCACACAUUAUACAAGUGGCAUAUGAGGUGGAAUACCUUGUUGAUUCAUUUGUGGUUAGAGGAGGUGUUUUAUGGUAUCAUGCGCUAUGGGUUACUGAUCUCCUAGAAGAUAUCAGACUUCUUAAGAUUAAGGCUUCAGAGAUCUCUAUGAAGACUUGCGGUAUCAAUAUCUCUAAUGGUCCCGAGGCAUUGAGAAAGGUGACAUCGCCAGCAAGAAUUCCCAAAAUUGAUGAAGAGGUCAUUGAUCUUGCUGAUCAAAACAAAAUUAUGAUUGAUAGGCUUACAAGAGGAUCACGACAGCAAGAUGUUGUCUCGAUUGUUGGUAUGCCUGGGCUAGGUAAGACGACUCUGGCCAGGAAGGUAUACAAUGAUCCUUUAGUUAUCUUUCACUUCCAUAUUCGUGCAUGGUGUUCUGUGUCUCAAGUAUACUGCAAAAGAGAUUUAUUGCUCGAAAUGCUGGGUGGCAUUAUGGAUAUUACUGAUAGUAUCCUUGAAAUGAGUGAUGAUCAUCUAGACUUAGAGUUAUAUCAAUGUCUCAAGAGAAAAAGGUAUCUCAUAGUUAUGGAUGACAUCUGGAGCACUGAACCAUGGCAUGAUUUAGAAAGAACGUUCCCAAAUGAUGAAAAUGGAAGCAGAAUAUUAAUCACAAGUCGUCUCCCUGAUGUGGCUUUGGAAAUUAAAGCAUAUAGAAUUCCUCAUCGUCUUCGUCUACUCUCCCAUGAUGAAAGCUGGGAAUUGUUGCAGAAGAAGUUAUUCAAGACAAAAGAUUGUCAAGUUGAACUGGUGACAGUUGGAUGGCACUACCUCUUGCAAUUGUUGCGGUAUCUGGUAUCCUUGAAAGAACUGAAAUGACUCUAGAUUCAUGGAAAAAAGUAUCAGAAAGUUUAUGCUCACGCAUUGCUAGUGAUCCGCAAACAAGGUGCAUGGAGAUCCUAGAGCUAAGCUACAAGCAUUUGCCUGACUAUUUGAAGCCGUGCUUUCUCUAUCUUGGAGCAUUUCUUGAGAACAAAGAAAUUCCAGUCCGAAAGUUGACAUGGUUAUGGGUUGCUGAAGGAUUUGUACGAAGUACGGCGUCAAAACGUGUGGAAGAUCUUGCAGAAGAAUAUUUGAAGGACCUCAUUGGCAGAAGCCUAGUAAUAGCUUCGAAAAGCAGAUCCAAUGGUGGAGUUAAAACAUGUUGUGUUCAUGACCUGCUGCGUACUUUAUGCUUGCUGAGAUGUCAGGAAGAAAAUUUUCUGCAUUUAGUAACUGGAUAUAAUUUCCCUUUUGAUGCUUCUUAUGAUGAUUCAGAUUAUGGUGUUGAUCCAGAUUAUCAUCCUACAAAUUGCACAACAUAUGCAAAACGGAGGUUAUCCAUUUGUUCUAAGAGAAAUCAUUUCAUCAUGUCAAGGCCUGGUGGACGUGUCCGCUCUCUACUAUACUCUGCCAGCAGUGAUUUGUAUCCAAGAUGUCCCUACAACAUCUCCUUCAUUUUCGAGAACUUCAAACUUCUCAGAGUGCUGGAUUUGGAAUGCAUCAAUGUGGGUAAUUCUUUCUUCAGUGGAAUAGAGUUAUUGGCUCAUUUGAGGUACUUGGCCCUUUGUGGUGAUAUAGACUAUAUUCCAGCUUCAAUAGCCAACCUCUGGAAUCUGGAAACCUUGAUGAGAAAUUUCUAAGUUUGUGAUGGAUUUUAAAAAAAUUCUACAAAAGGGGUGAUUGUGGCGAGGAAUUCUGUCGGGGGGUCUUCGCAUUCGUGAAAUGCGAGCUCAGGAGAGUUCGCAUUUCACGAAUGCGAGCUCUCAACAGAGCUCGCAUUCCUGAAAUGCGAGCUCAACAGAGCUCGCAUUACAGAGAUGCAAAUUUUUUUUCUUUUUUUUUUGGAGGCAGAGAUUUAUAUUUUUGUACUAAAACAAAAUGUUUUAAGAUGUCACAUGCGCGUUUGCAUUCCUUAAAAAAAAUUUAUGAAAUACGUUAUUUUAUUAUAAUACAUUUUGGUGGAAAUAAAUUAGAUCAAUGUAAAAAUAGAAUGAAAUUAUUAACAUGUAAGGUGUUGACUAUAUUUUAUGAAUAAAAUACUAACUUUUGAUCCUUUUUUGUGAAAUAAAUUUAUUUAUCAAAUUCUAAUUUUCCUUUGUUAUUAAUGAAUCGUAUUUAUUUGUUGACAACGAUGAAUAUUAGUUAUAAGAAUCUAAUAAUUAAUAGUCAUUAAUAUCUGUUACAAUUUUUUUAUUGUAAUUUUAGAAAUUCCAUAACGCAAUGCUAAUUAAAAAUUAUAUAAGUUAUUUUUAUGAGGUGCAUGUUAUUUGUUUGGUAGUUGAAAAGGAAAAGAAAUCAAAUAUCUAACGAUUAAAUCUUGCGUGUUUUACCUUUUACAAUUGAUGCGAAUGUAGAUAUUUUUAGAUAAAAAUCACCGGUUACACAACAUUUGACAUACUGAAAUUGAAAUGGGGUCUUGGCGCUGGGUAGUGGGAGCUCACUGAGCUCGCAUUGUGAAAAUGCGAGCUCACUGAGCUCGCAUUCUCAAAAUGCGAAGACCCCCCAUUUACAGAAACUCCCCCAGGAAACGCCCUCGUUGUAGAAUUCUUUUUUUUUUUCAUCACAAACUAAGAAUUCACCCAAACCUUGAUUGUGAAAGGACUAAAAGGUAAAGUCCUACUGCCACAUACUAUUUGGAGCAUGGAAAAGUUGAGACAUUUGCAUGUAUAUAGUAAUGCUGUCUUCAACAUGCAAGACAAUGAAACAGAAAAGGCCACGCAGUUAGGAAAUCUGGACAGUCUUUCCACCCCAUCUCUCUCUUUUGGUAAACAUACAGAGAAUAUCAUGCGAAGGUUUCUCAAACUUCGGAGACUUAGAUGUCUGUUUUCAGAAUCAAGGGUUGAUGUUGGGAACUCAAAUCAAUUUCCAGUACUGAACUGUCUCACAGAACUAGAGUCGCUCAAAAUUCUCUGUUCUGGUAGAAUUGCUCAUCCUUUUAAGUUUGACUUCCCAUUGAAACUGAAGAAGUUGACUCUAUCAAAAUUUCGCCUGCCAUGGGACUGCAUUUUGGAAGUUGGUAGAUUACCGAACCUGGAGGUUCUCAAAUUGCUUUCUAGGGCCUUUGAGGGGAAAGUGUGGGACAUGAAAGAAGGGCAGUUCCCUAAACUCAAUUUCCUAAAGCUCGACACUCUGAACCUGGCCCAGUGGAAUGCCACCAGUGAUGACUUUCCCAAUCUUCAACACUUAGUUUUGCGAAAUUGCAGGCAGCUUGAGGAAGUCCCCUCUGGUUUAGGAGAUGUCCCUACACUGGAGAUCAUUGAGGUGCAAUUGUGCAGACAAUCUGCUGAAGAGUCUGUCAGAAGAAUAGAGGAGGAACAACACAUGAUGGGAAAUGAUGAUUUGAAGGUUCUAAUCAAUCGUUCAGAAUGGGAUUUCUGAUCAUCACCAGAAUUUUUGGUGGAGCUUUGCAGCAUUAUGUUCAGAGGUGAGUUAAUUUAAGUUAAAUUAUACAGUAUUUGUUUACCAGGAGACAAAGUGUAUUCUUUCAGCUACUAAUUUAUUGGCACCUCACUUGCUAGAGACUUUUGUAACGAUUCUCAAAGCUUGUUGAUUCUAGACUGGUUCUGAUUACGUCAAAAUGCACUAUUUUGGUAGAUAUAUAUUUGCUUUCUUUUCAUCUUGUCCUCAUGAAAGUGCACUUCUAGGAAUGUCCAAUUGGUUUAGCUACACCAAGAUAAUCAAAGGGAGCGAGUCUUUGGAAUUGUUGAUCUUGCUAGCUUUUCUUUUCUUUUCUUUCUUUUUUUUAAUUGUCCUUGCUGGUCAGUCCAACAAAAUGAAGUAUCACCAGAAGCCUUCUAUUAAAACCAAAUAGGUAGAUUGAAACAGAAAAGUUUUAGCAAAGAAUGAAUCCUUGAAAGCAAGGGUGGCAUUAGAAGUAAUAAUGAUAUGUAAGAAUAGUCAUUCAUGAGGGGAGUUGGCAUGGAGGUAUGAUGAGGUCAUGGUUGUUCCUUCCACUGCUGCAUAUGUAGCUAGCAAUUUUAGUUGCAGAAAACAUGGUGCUAUUAACCUAUUUAUGCUCUAUGUUCUUGAUGGAAAUUGCUUUGGUACUAUUCUAAUCCAGGAAACUGGAAAAGCAGAUGCUCCAAUAAUGAGCCCUAAAUUAGUUAAACUUCAGAAAAACAUAGAUGCUAUAAACAUCAGAGGUGGUCUACUUUCUUGGGGAAUCCAGUAUGCUGAAAACUCUUUGUUUUACCGAAUUUGUAUGCUUUAGGCCACAACUUGGUCUUUCACUAGCCGGACUAACAUGCCAAUAUAAUUUCAGAUGCCUCUCCGGAAAGAAGAAAGUGGGCGUCUGUUAGAGGUGAAGGAAAUGGAAUCCUAGAGUUUGAAGGAUGGAAGACAAUCUUGUAUAAGAGAGUUCUGAUUUAUCACCAUGGUUUCUUCAAAUGUCUGUAAAAUAUUGUUUGGCAAAUUUGUUACUCAUGGGAGGCAAACCAGACAUCCUGUGUUUUAUUUGCUUCCAACAGAUUCUAAAUCCCAUAUUUGGAGAGUUGAUGAGUACGACUGGAAUUUUGUAUAGUGCUGAGGAUGGAUACAAUCAAGUGCGCAUUCUUGUCCUGGUGAAGUAUUUACUUUGUGGAGCUGAUCCCAUACGUAAAGCUCCUAAUAUCUACAUCCAGAUUAUUGCUUUUCUUGUGAACCAGCAGAAGAUUCUUAAACACCUAUAAAAGUGGAAAGCAUGAUUGAGUGACUUCAAAAUUUCCUUGUACUUCUUCCAUCCUGUUAGAAAUGUUAUAUUGUUCAUCUUGAAAUGUCUCAAAAUAUUUUUCAUGUUGAGAAAAUUAAAGCACUUAUUAGUUUCUCCCCCCUAUAUAGUCACUUCUUUUAAUCAUAUGCACGUCACCAUUUAAAUUCAAAUUUUGAAUUUGAAUAAGAUUGGAAAGGAAAGCACAAAUAUCACAAUCAAACUAUUAUUUUUAAAAAAUUAAAUUUCCAAACAUGACAAAAUAAGUGAUAAAAAAUUAAAUUUCCAAACAUGACAAAAUAAGUGAGACAGGGGGAGUAUCAUUUAUAUAUUUACAUAGUUUUUGGGUCAGCCUUUUCUUUUCUCUUUGGUUUUAUUUUGGAAUGACCAUUUGCAACAUCAUAAUUUUCCUACUGGGAUAGAUCUUCAUUUUGUUCAUACGGUUUUAAAAGUAUACUAGUCUUGUAUUAUUACAGAAAUUCCUCUUCAAGGUACGUCCCUGUACUAUGAAAUCAACUAAUGCAUCGCUCUUGCAACGGGUUGUGCUCUUUGUAGAAUCUGAAAAUACCUGUAAAUGACAAGAAUUGGGACUUUACAAUCUCAGUAUUUAAACAUUUUUUUUUUUGGGUAAGUUGAAAGUUUUGAAUCCAAAAUUUUCUACUUACAAUCAUGAUUCAAAGACUUGGCCAAGUCAUCACCAAAACGGAGCUUCCGAUCCGAUACCGAAACGAGAUGACUCCGAAAUAAUGAAUCGCCUAAAACUCGACCAACUCACCAAGAACUUGAUCAAGAUGCCUCCGAAACGGAUAGAAACAGUCAAUUCGCCUUGAGUCAUCACGAGUUAACUCGAUUUUUAUUGUUUUUACUAAUUUUUUAUUAUCUUUGUUUAUCAUUUUUUUACAAUUUUUAAAAUAUUAAAUAUUUCAAAAAUUUGCACCUCGUCGAGGCUGCGACCGAUAUGCCGAAACCAAUAUGGAACAGUCUGACUCACGACCACAACCGCAAGUGACCGUGGCUUUGAACCAUGCUUACAAUCCUUCCCAUCUUACCAUCCAACCUAACACUUCCCCACAAUCUCAUUAUUUGAACUUGAUUUCCUUUUUUGAGGUAAAAUUAUAAAUUUAAAGCAAUGUAGAGAAAUUGUAAAAAUUUUGGAAGGAGAUGAUUUUAGAACCCAACAGAGUUUUAAAAUUUACACAUUAAAUACAGUAUCCUACUUUACAGAUUCAUGAUUACAGAACACUGGUAAUAGAGUAGAAAACUCUUUCAUACCUAUUAACACGACAUCAUAAAACAAAAAGAACAUUUUAAGACUGAAAAAACAAUAAAGUUGCAAAUCACAAUAGAAAAGAACAAGUCUCCAUUCCGAAAAGGUAAUGCAACUUACCUUUCCCUGCAGUUCAACCAAACUUUAUUUUACCAAACAAUUUUCAUGCCGCUAGUAUGAAGGGAGAUAAUGUCCCUACACUGCUUUGUACAGGUUAGUUUAUCUUUAACUAGGAGCACUCUGAAUUCAUUUCUAUUUUCUCGGCUGCCAUUUGGACUCCGUAUUUUGUGGGAAAAAAAAAGAAGUGAGAGAGAGAGAGAGAGAAAGAGAAAUAUUGUGAUAGACCAUGAUUUCAUAUCAAAUUUUAAAAAAAUCUAUUUUUAAGAAUAGCAUUGCUAUACUACGCGAAACAUCAACGCCAGAUUCCAAAGCAAUUAAUACGGACCAUAGGAUUAACUUUAUCUGUGAAAGAGAGGGCAAAUGAGAAGCGAUAAUAAAGUGAAGCAUCUUGCUCUUUAUUUUUACCACUUAAUUCGUCUAGUCGUAAUUGUAUUUUAUAGCUUUUUGCUUUUAAGAAUAUUCCUCUGUAAUAUAUGCUGAUUAUCAAGUUUUGUCCAGGAGACCACAAACAUCCAUAAAACCAAAACCUCUAUCACCUUCCCCAGUUUCACUUGAUUCUUGAACGAAUUGACCGAGUUGAGAAAAUAUCAGCUAAAACCAAGUUUAAUUUUCAAACUCAACUGGCUUCGCAUAAAAGAGAGCACUUAACAAUUUAAAUGAACCAAGUGCUUUAUCCAUAUUCUAGUUUUAUUACAGAUUAAAGUGCUUUGUAAGGAUACAGAUUGCAAGUAAAUCUAGGAAUGGCAAUGGGGCGGGGGUGGAGUGGAGGAACCGCCUCGUUGCCCAAACAUUCCCCCCACUCCCGUCCCACCCCUGUCACCCGCUCCCCACACUCCACCCCGCUUCCCCGCAGGCUAAUAGAAAUUUGCCUAUACAUGAAGUCUAAUUUUACAACACUAAUUUUACAUGAAGUCUAUACAUUAGCAUGCAAAACAGCAAUACACAAUUCCCUAAAGGAACUGAAUUUCAGCAAAACAGCAAUACACAUGAUCGCAUAGCUCUGGCAUUUUAUGUUUGAUUAAACUGGUUGCAAUAUAAAAUUCAUAUACGUGCAAAUGCCAAAAACACAGCAUCUACACAGCUUCAACUUUUAUAGACGAUACAGAGGGAAGGAAGUGACAAGAAGAAAAAGCAAGAGACAAUUGGACAUUUAACAGAAAAAGAAUUAUAAGAAGGGGAAAUGGUGCAAUUCCUGAGAAAAAAACAAUUCAUAAAUCUAUUAGCAUAACUAAUCAGUAAUUUGUAUUAGUAUAAAUGUAUAAUUAUUAGUAUAACUAAUAAUAUAAUUAUUAUAACUACCAAUAUUAUAUAUAUAAUUAUAAUAUUUAUUUAUUUAUUUUUAGGUGGAUGAUGGGGUAGGGGUAUACUCCCCCGUCCCCUACCCAUUUUUCAACCAGGGGAGAAAAUAAACCCCCGCCCCGCCCCAUCAACCAGCCACGGGUACCUGCCCCAACUGCCGUCCCUGCAUAAAUCACACCCUAUAGCAAUGGGGAGUAACAACAGCACUAUUAAAUGCAACAAGCACACACACACAAAGAAAAAAAUGCCAUUUAUGAAAUCACAUUUUACAAAUGCUAGGAUGUCUUGUGAAGUAAAUCAACAUCAUAUUAUCUUUACUUCAGCAUUAUAUCUGUAAUACAAUAUAUUCUCAACUUCCUAAAGCAUCAAAUAAAUUAAAACAAUGGGUGCAGAUUGACAAGGUAAAAUAAUUGUGGACAACUAAACAACAAAUCCUUAGCCUGGUA
rnacentral:lncRNA from 1 species